AGUGAACGCUGGCGGUAGGCCUAACACAUGCAAGUCGAACGGCAGCACAGUAAGAGCUUGCUCUUACGGGUGGCGAGUGGCGGACGGGUGAGGAAUACAUCGGAAUCUACUUUUUCGUGGGGGAUAACGUAGGGAAACUUACGCUAAUACCGCAUACGACCUACGGGUGAAAGCAGGGGAGCUUCGGACCUUGCGCGAUUGAAUGAGCCGAUGUCGGAUUAGCUAGGUGGCGGGGUAAAGGCCCACCAAGGCGAGGAUCCGUAGCUGGUCUGAGAGGAUGAUCAGCCACACUGGAACUGAGACACGGUCCAGAAUCCUACGGGAGGCAGCAGUGGGGAAUAUUGGAGAAUGGGCGGAAGCCUGAUCCAGCCAUACCGCGUGGGUGAAUAAGGCCUUCGGGUUGUAAAGCCCUUUUGUUUGGAAAGAAAAGCAGCAGGUUAAUACCCCGCUGUUCUGACGGUACCCAAAGAAUAAGGACCGGCUAACUUCGUU
rnacentral:rRNA from 1 species